rnacentral:lncRNA from 1 species
UUUCCGUUAAUAUUUUAUGUAUUUUUAUUAUUUUUUAUUUGCACCUAAAAUUCCAGUUAACAAAAGAGGUACUCGAUAACAAUUUAACUAAUAAAGCUGAAGGAUGCCCAAUUACUUUUCACAACUAUGAUGACACUUUACAAAUUUCUGCGGACUGUGAUGAAGGAGCUUCGUUUUCUCAACUCAUGAAUGAAAACGAAUCAGAUAAUUCUAAAGUUGGAAGACUGUUUCCGUUGCUUCUUGGACUAAACUUAAAACAACUGACACAAGGAAUAUUUCAAGACGGAAAUAUGCUAUUUACAGACAUAUAUGUAAAUACGCAUUUGUUUAAGUUUACUGGAUCGUUAAUGAAUACUCUCCAUUUUGCUGAUGGAAGUUUGUCUGUUUCAGAUGUAAAAAUUAAAA